UGUUAUCUUUGGUUAUCUAGCUGUAUGAAUCAAAUGGCUGUCAUAAAGCUAGAUAACCGAAAGUAACAGCCACUCUAU
rnacentral:miRNA from 1 species